rnacentral:piRNA from 1 species
CCUUCCAGUGCUGGGAUUACAGGUGUGCAU